AAGGCGGGAGAUUCGUGUAUCAGCAGAAUUCAGUUUUGUUGACUUACCAAGGAAUUGAGACAUGUGUCACCGAGGAGAAAAACAGCGUUGAGAGAAUGCAUACAAACAUCGAGCUGCAACAGAAAUAAUACAUGUAAGGGAUAAAUAUAUUCAUUACCCACUUCUGAAUUAAAGAUUUCAAGAGAGAGUGAUCAGAUAAAAAUGAAUCCAAGUCUCUCUAAAAAACGAAGAUCUAUUAGAGCCAGAGCUUACAAAACUCAGCCUGUAACCUUUAGUAAAGGGGUAGAUUAACGCCCAAAACACAAUAUCUGUAAGCACAACAGCACCGGCACAAGUCUGCCACAACACAAAACUUUGUUUAGUCAUUUUGAAGCUUUGAGAUGUCACUUGUACAGUCUUCACUCUCAACAAGAUGAUUUAGCAGAAGGAGAAAAAAGAAGAGAGACUUACUUGGAAAUGGACCUGAAAGAUGUAAACCCAAAAACCCGCUGUUUCUCGGACUGAUACUUCUGAAUGUGUAUUGGCAGGUUUUGACGUAUUUCCCGCACCAUCAAGGGUGGUGACUGGUGGUCUAUAAGUUCCUUGUUCAGCAUCACCUAUACUUAUAUAACUCUCUAUGUUACCACCAGCU
rnacentral:lncRNA from 1 species